rnacentral:rRNA from 1 species
CUCACCACUUUGUGGUUCAUGACUGGGGUGAAGUCGUAACAAGGUAGCGCUAGGGGAACCUGGCGCUGGAUCACCUCCUUAUACGAUGAU